GCUUGCUGGAUGCUGACGAGCGGCGGACGGGUGAGUAAUGCAUAGGAAUCUGCCCGAUAGUGGGGGAUAACCUGGGGAAACCCAGGCUAAUACCGCAUACGUCCUACGGGAGAAAGGGGGCUCCGGCUCCCGCUAUGGGAUGAGCCUAUGUCGGAUUAGCUAGUUGGUGAGGUAACGGCUCACCAAGGCCACGAUCCGUAGCUGGUCUGAGAGGAUGAUCAGCCACAUCGGGACUGAGACACGGCCCGAACUCCUACGGGAGGCAGCAGUGGGGAAUAUUGGACAAUGGGGGAAACCCUGAUCCAGCCAUGCCGCGUGUGUGAAGAAGGCCCUCGGGUUGUAAAGCACUUUCAGCGAGGAAGAACGCCUAGCGGUUAAUACCCGCUAGGAAAGACAUCACUCGCAGAAGAAGCACCGGCUAACUCCGUGCCAGCAGCCGCGGUAAUACGGAGGGUGCAAGCGUUAAUCGGAAUUACUGGGCGUAAAGCGCGCGUAGGUGGCUUGAUAAGCCGGUUGUGAAAGCCCCGGGCUCAACCUGGGAACGGCAUCCGGAACUGUCAAGCUAGAGUGCAGGAGAGGAAGGUAGAAUUCCCGGUGUAGCGGUGAAAUGCGUAGAGAUCGGGAGGAAUACCAGUGGCGAAGGCGGCCUUCUGGACUGACACUGACACUG
rnacentral:rRNA from 1 species